UACGUAGGCAGCGAGCGUUGUUCGGAAUUACUGGGCGUAAAGAGUGUGUAGGCGGUGCUCUAAGUUCGGUGUGAAAUCUCUCGGCUUAACUGGGAGGGUGCGGCGGAAACUGGAGUGCUCGAACGUGGGAGAGGAAAGCGGAAUUCCUGGUGUAGCGGUGAAAUGCGUAGAUAUCAGGAGGAACACCUGCGGUGUAGACGGCUUUCUGGACCAUUGUUGACGCUGAGACACGAAAGCGUGGGUAGCAAACAGG
rnacentral:rRNA from 1 species